AGCCCCAUGUAGACAUAGUACAGGAUCCCUGGUGGGAGAAGACAGUAAGAAAAGAAGUAUACCACCUAUCAAUGAUGAUUUAAGGAUAUUCUUCGGAGAAAAGUGGUGAGGACAGAGGAUAGGAUGAAGGGCCAACAGAGAGAACCUCAGAAGACACAGGGACAAACAGGAACAGUUGGAGGAGAACGUGGAGCACCAGGAAGGAUGCUUUGCUGGAUGUCUCAGAGUAAGGGUGCCCUGAAGUAGGGGCCAUAGGGGCAGUAGUGGCGGGGCUACUCACCCAAGUCCAGAUGCAGGCCAAGAAUCGGCCGGAAGGGCUUGGGUACCACAAUGGUCGUGUUGCCAAAGUUGGUGAAAUAGACCAUGAGAAGAGGUAGUGAGGCAGCUGUGGGCAGCAGCAGCUUAUGGCGCCAGCGCAGAUUCAGUACAUCGUCCGCGAAGCCCAG